GAAGAAUUCCCAGGAGACCUUGACAUGGGUAGACCCAGAGGUAACCACAAGGGCCAGGCAGCUAAUUUGAGCUUAUGAACAAGGAACCCUGGAGGACACUUUGACACAAAGGCGCCUGGAGAAUCUGAAAUAGAGGACUGCCACCUGCAGAGAAAGGUUCUCAGUGAGCUUAAGUUGCACGUGACAAUGUAUCAAUGAAUUUGAUCUUACACUGGGCUUCCUUUUAGUUGAUCUAUUCUUAAUCGCUCUCUUCAUUUGAUGGGAAAGAAUAUGCAAGCAGUGAAGUUUCAGAGCCAUUGGCUACAUGAAGAUAAAUCCUUUCAUAUUUCCAUUAACUUAUCUAGAUAUUAAUUUCCAAGUGAGAAAAAAAAUCCCCUCAGCAUUUUGAAGCCAUUGUUCUAUUAUCUUCUGGUUUCUG
rnacentral:lncRNA from 1 species